rnacentral:rRNA from 1 species
UUUGUAUGCGGGGUAGGGGAGCGUUCUGUAAGCGGUUGAAGGUGGUCUGUAAGGGCUGCUGGACGUAUCAGAAGUGCGAAUGCUGACAUGAGUAACGAUAAAGGGGGUGAAAAACCCCCUCGCCGGAAGACCAAGGGUUCCUGUCCAACGUUAAUCGGGGCAGGGUAAGUCGACCCCUAAGGCGAGGCCGAAAGGCGUAGUCGAUGGGAAACGGGUUAAUAUUCCCGUACUUCUUAUAAUUGCGAUGGGGGGACGGAGAAGGCUAGGUGGGCCUGGCGAUGGUUGUCCAGGUUCAAGUAUGUAGGCGGAAGGUUUAGGUAAAUCCGGACUUUCUUAACGCUGAGAUACGAUGUCGAGCUGCUACGUGCAGUGAAGUCAUUGAUGCCAUGCUUCCAGGAAAAGCCUCUAAGCUUCAGAUUAUAAGAAAUCGUACCCCAAACCGACACAGGUGGUCGGGUAGAGAAUACCAAGGCGCUUGAGAGAACUCGGGUGAAGGAACUAGGCAAAAUGGUACCGUAACUUCGGGAGAAGGUACGCUCUUGGCGGUGAAGUCCCUUGCGGAUGGAGCUACUAGGAGUCGCAGAUACCAGGUGGCUGCAACUGUUUAUUAAAAACACAGCACUGUGCAAAAUCGUAAGAUGACGUAUACGGUGUGACGCCUGCCCGGUGCCGGAAGGUUAAUUGAUGGGGUUAGACUUCGGUCGAAGCUCUUGAUCGAAGCCCCGGUAAACGGCGGCCGUAACUAUAACGGUCCUAAGGUAGCGAAAUUCCUUGUCGGGUAAGUUCCGACCUGCACGAAUGGCGUAAUGAUGGCCACGCUGUCUCCACCCGAGACUCAGUGAAAUUGAAAUCGCUGUGAAGAUGCAGUGUACCCGCGGCUAGACGGAAAGACCCCGUGAACCUUUACUACAGCUUGGCACUGAACAUUGACCCUACAUGUGUAGGAUAGGUGGGAGGCUUUGAAGACGGUACGCCAGUAUCGUUGGAGCCGUCCUUGAAAUACCACCCUUGUAGUGUUGAUGUUCUAACUUAGUCCCCUUAUCGGGGAUGAGGACAGUGCCUGGUGGGUAGUUUGACUGGGGCGGUCUCCUCCCAAAGAGUAACGGAGGAGCACGAAGGUGGGCUAAACACGGUUGGACAUCGUGUGGUUAGUGCAAUGGCAUAAGCCCGCUUGACUGCGAGAAUGACAAUUCGAGCAGGUGCGAAAGCAGGUCAUAGUGAUCCGGUGGUUCUGAAUGGAAGGGCCAUCGCUCAACGGAUAAAAGGUACUCCGGGGAUAACAGGCUGAUACCGCCCAAGAGUUCAUAUCGACGGCGGUGUUUGGCACCUCGAUGUCGGCUCAUCACAUCCUGGGGCUGAAGUCGGUCCCAAGGGUAUGGCUGUUCGCCAUUUAAAGUGGUACGCGAGCUGGGUUUAGAACGUCGUGAGACAGUUCGGUCCCUAUCUGCCGUGGGCGUUGGAAGAUUGAAGGGGGCUGCUCCUAGUACGAGAGGACCGGAGUGGACGAACCUCUGGUGUUCGGGUUGUCAUGCCAAUGGCAUUGCCCGGUAGCUAAGUUCGGAAUCGAUAACCGCUGAAAGCAUCUAAGCGGGAAGCGAGCCCUGAGAUGAGUCUUCCCUGGCACUUUAAGUGUCCUAAAGGGUUGUUCGAGACUAGAACGUUGAUAGGCAGGGUGUGUAAGUGCUGCGAGGCAUUGAGCUAACCUGUACUAAUUGCCCGUGAGGCUUAACCAUACAACACCCAAGGGGUUU